UACGUAGGGGGCUAGCGUUGUCCGGAACCAUUGGGCGUAAAGCGCGUGUAGGCGGUUCGGUAAGUCCGCUGUGAAAGUCGGGGGCUCAACCCUCGGAUGCCGGUGGAUACUGUCGGGCUUGAGUACGGAAGAGGCGAGUGGAAUUCCUGGUGUAGCGGUGAAAUGCGCAGAUAUCAGGAGGAACACCAAUUGCGAAGGCAGCUCGCUGGGACGUUACUGACGCUGAGACGCGAAAGCGUGGGGAGCAAACAGG
rnacentral:rRNA from 1 species